rnacentral:tRNA from 1 species
GGGCGAAUAGCUCAGCUGGUAGAGCACUUGCCUUACAAGCAAGGGGUCACAGGUUCGAACCCUGUUUCGCCCACCA